AGGCAGGCUUAGCUGGACGCCCCCCCGUUUUGAUUCGCUUUUGCCUGCCUGGUAGACAGGCGAAUGCAAAACGAAUCAGGGGGGGAGGAAAGUCCGGGCUCCGGAGGGCAGCGCACCCUGAGAAUAUCAGGGCAUCCCGAAAGGUGCGGGAUAGGAUAAGAGCCACAGAGACGAGUACCCCGCCAGAGGCGGGGGAUGUGAAACGAGGCAAUCUCUGCGCGGAGAAAGGUCAAAUAGGUCCCGAUUGAUGAGAGUGGCCCGCUCUGACAAAACUACUUUUGUAGUAAUUGAAUCGGGAUGGGUAGACUGCUUGAGUUCCGAUGGCAACAUCGGAAUCUAGAGGAAUGUCCAUAAAUAACAGAACCCGGCUUAUGAGCCUGCCUAAAU
rnacentral:RNase_P_RNA from 1 species